rnacentral:rRNA from 1 species
UCGCGGCCUAUCAGCUUGUUGGUGGGGUAAUGGCCUACCAAGGCGUCGACGGGUAGCCGGCCUGAGAGGGCGACCGGCCACACUGGGACUGAGACACGGCCCAGACUCCUACGGGAGGCAGCAGUGGGGAAUAUUGCGCAAUGGACGAAAGUCUGACGCAGCAACGCCGCGUGAGGGAUGACGGCCUUCGGGUUGUAAACCUCUUUCAGCAGGGACGAAGCGAGAGUGACGGUACCUGCAGAAGAAGGACCGGCCAACUACGUGCCAGCAGCCGCGGUAAUACGUAGGGUCCGAGCGUUGUCCGGAAUUAUUGGGCGUAAAGGGCUCGUAGGCGGUUCGUCACGUCGGGAGUGAAAACUCGGGGCUUAACCCCGAGCCUGCUUCCGAUACGGGCAGACUAGAGGUAGGCAGGGGAGAGCGGAACUCCUGGUGUAGCGGUGGAAUGCGCAGAUAUCAGGAAGAACACCGGUGGCGAAGGCGGCUCUCUGGGCCUUACCUGACGCUGAGGAGCGAAAGCGUGGGUAGCGAACAGGAUUAGAUACCCUGGUAGUCCACGCCGUAAACGUUGGGCGCUAGGUGUGGGGGACAUUCCACGUCCUCCGUGCCGCAGCUAACGCAUUAAGCGCCCCGCCUGGGGAGUACGGCCGCAAGGCUAAAACUCAAAGGA